rnacentral:rRNA from 1 species
UACGAAGGGGGCUAGCGUUGUUCGGAAUUACUGGGCGUAAAGGGCGCGUAGGCGGCGUGUCAAGUCAGGCGUGAAAGCCCCGGGCUCAACCUGGGAACCGCGCUUGAGACUGGCAUGCUCGAGUUCGGGAGAGGAUGGUGGAAUUCCCAGUGUAGAGGUGAAAUUCGGUAGAUAUUGGGAAGAACACCGAUGGCCGAAGGGCAGCCAUCUGGACCGACACUGACGCUGAGGCGCGAAAGCGUGGGGAGCAAACAGG